rnacentral:rRNA from 1 species
UUUACGGAGAGUUUGAUCCUGGCUCAGGAUGAACGUUGGCGGCGCGCAUAAUGCAUGCAAGUCGAACGAAGUCCCACCCUUCGGGGUGACGACUUAGUGGCAGACGGCUGAGUAACGCGUGAGUGAUCUGCCUUUGGGUAGGGGAUAACAGAGAGAAAUUUCUGCUAAUACCGCAUACGAUCCGCAGUGUAGAGGCUGCGGAUGAAAGGUGCCGGGUAACCGGUUGCCGCCCUUAGAUGAGCUCGCGUCCUAUCAGGUAGUUGGUGGGGUAAUGGCCUACCAAGCCUUAGACGGGUAACUGGUGUGAGAGCAUGACCAGUCAGAGGGGGACUGAGACACGGCCCCCACUCCUACGGGAGGCAGCAGCAGGGAAUCUUCCACAAUGGGCGAAAGCCUGAUGGAGCGACGCCGCGUGAGGGAUGAAGGCUNUAGGGUCGUAAACCUCUUUUCUNAGGGAAGAGCAAGGACGGUACCUNAGGAAUAAGUGACGGCUAACUACGUGCCAGCAGCCGCGGUAAUACGUAGGUCACAAACGUUGUCCGGANUUAUUGGGCGUAAAGGGUCCGUAGGCGGUUCGGUAAGUCUCCUGUGAAAUCUUCAGGCUCAACUUGAAGAGGUCGGGGGAUACUGCNGNACUUGAGACUGNNAGAGGCAAGUGGAAUUCCCGGUGUAGUGGUGAAAUGCGUAGAUAUCGGGAGGAACACCANUGGCGAAAGCGGCUUGCUGGGNCAGUUCUGACGCUGAGGGACGAAAGCGUGGGUAGCAAACCGGAUUAGAUACCCGGGUAGUCCACGCCGUAAA